AGCAGCAGGCCGACUAGCUGAGCCCUUCACUCUUGUGAGUUCUUGACCUGACGUGGUGCAUCGGCCCUGACGAGACUGACAAAAAGGGUUGAAGAGGCACCACCUCUCUCCAUCCUGCACGACCUUCCUUCCCUCCUCCAAGAGAGGGGCCAUCCAUCCAUUCGCUCACCCAUACUUCCAUCCGCCCAUCUGGCUGACUGAUGCACAGAAGGGGAACGAGACUGUCAAGAUCCCUGAACCUCAGCCGAACCAUUCUCUCUCUCUCUGUCUCUCUCUCUGUCUCUCUCUCUCUGUCUCCUUCCCUCCCUAGCCAUUAGAAGUGGUUGAAGGACUGAUAACCGUGCUGCUGCAGCUAUUCCCUGCGGACAGAAAGACAGACACACAUGGAGCAAACAACCACGUUAGAAGCAGGACAGAAACGCACAUGCAGUGUAAUGGGAAGGUGAGUCACAAAAGGAGAAGAAAAGAGAGGGGCGAGAUCAGAGAAUUGAGGGAGUCGGGCAGGGAGAGGGAGGAGCAGUAUGAAAGAAGAGGUGGAGAGAUCAGAGAAAAAGAGUUGAUGGAUUUCCUGUCUGAAUAAAUGAAGAGGAGGGAAGCUGUUUGAUCAAUGAGCUGUCUAUCCUCUCCUCACCCUUCUGCGCCUCGGCUGGAUGGAGUUUUCACUACACAAACAAAACGGAAAAUGUAAUUUUCCCAAUUUAAAUACCUCCUGCAGUAUGUGGAUCCCAUGUGUUAAAAGGCGAUUAAUAAUGAAUAAAGCACUCUACAUACUGACUGUUUUCAAACUCUUUCAGCGUACAUCUAUGGAGGGAAAAAAAAUCAAUAUCUAGGCUUUGUGUAAAGUUUUGACUG